rnacentral:rRNA from 1 species
GUGUCAGCAGCCGCGGUAAUACGGAGGGGGCUAGCGUUGUUCGGAAUUACUGGGCGUAAAGCGCACGUAGGCGGCUUUGUAAGUUAGGGGUGAAAGCCCAGGGCUCAACCCUGGAACUGCCUUUAAGACUGCAUCGCUUGAACACGGGAGAGGUGAGUGGAAUUCCGAGUGUAGAGGUGAAAUUCGUAGAUAUUCGGAAGAACACCAGUGGCGAAGGCGACUCACUGGACCGUUGUUGACGCUGAGGUGCGAAAGCGGGGGGAGCAAACAGGAUUAGAUACCCUGGUAGUCCACGCCGUAAACGAUGAUAACUAGCUGUCCGGGCACUUGGUGCUUGGGUGGCGCAGCUAACGCAUUAAGUUAUCCGCCUGGGGAGUACGGCCGCAAGGUUAAAACUCAAAGGAAUUGGCGG